rnacentral:rRNA from 1 species
CAGCCGCCACGGUAAUACGGAGGGUGCAAGCGUUACUCGGAAUCACUGGGCGUAAAGGACGCGUAGGCGGAUUAUCAAGUCUCUUGUGAAAUCUAACGGCUUAACCGUUAAACUGCUUGGGAAACUGAUAAUCUAGAGUAAGGGAGGGGCAGAUGGAAUUCUUGGUGUAGGGGUAAAAUCCGUAGAGAUCAAGAAGAAUACCCAUUGCGAAAGCGAUCUGCUGGAACUUAACUGACGCUAAUGCGUGAAAGCGUGGGGAGCAAACAGGAUUAGAUACCCCCGUAGUCCCUGUCUCUUAUAC